UUAAAGGGGACGUGAACCCAAGGGGGCUGGUGGCCCGUGGCAAGGGGGUGCUGGAAGAGGAGGCUGCGGAGGAAGGGGAGGGUGUGGGAAUGAAGAAGGAUAACCGAGGGGCUUGGAGCUGCUGGAGACCUUGGGAAGGCACAGCAGGGGCUGCCUGGGAAGUGUGACCCCCACAGCCAGGGGGCUGUUCCUGCCCACCCCCCCCUCACUGCAGCCCACCCCCACCACGGCCCCCCAACCCCACCGCCGCACACACGGGUGGCCAUGGCUCCAACACACAACCUAGGGUUUUAUUGUGCAGACAGAGGAACACUCCUGGAGGAUAGAGUUUUGUUGUUGUCGUUGCCUUUUUUCGUCGUUGUUGUUGCUUUUUUUUUUUUUGCUUUUUUCCCUUUUUUUUGUUGUUUUCCUUUUGUCCCCCUUAACAGAAUCUGGGUUUAUACGACAAGCUGUGGAAACAACUACAAAUGUUCACCCCCCCCCAAAAUAGAAUAAAACAAAAAUAAAUGAGA